rnacentral:rRNA from 1 species
CAGUAGCCGCGGGAAUACGUAGGGUGCGAGCGUUAAUCGGAAUUACUGGGCGUGAAGCGUGCGCAGGCGGUUGUGUAAGACAGGUGUGAAAUCCCCGGGCUUAACCUGGGAACUGCGCUUGUGACUGCACAGCUAGAGUAUGGCAGAGGGGGGUGGAAUUCCACGUGUAGCGGUGAAAUGCGUAGAGAUGUGGGGGAACACCGAUGGCGAAGGCAGCCCCCUGGGCCAAUACUGACGCUCAUGCACGAAAGCGUGGGGAGCAAACAGGAUUAGAUACCCGAGUAGUCCCUGUCUCUUAUAA